rnacentral:rRNA from 1 species
GACGAACGCUGGCGGCGUGCUUAACACAUGCAAGUCGAACGGAAAGGCCCUGCUUUUGUGGGGUGCUCGAGUGGCGAACGGGUGAGUAACACGUGAGUAACCUGCCCUUGACUUUGGGAUAACUUCAGGAAACUGGGGCUAAUACCGGAUAGGAGCUCCUGCUGCAUGGUGGGGGUUGGAAAGUUUCGGCGGUUGGGGAUGGACUCGCGGCUUAUCAGCUUGUUGGUGGGGUAGUGGCUUACCAAGGCUUUGACGGGUAGCCGGCCUGAGAGGGUGACCGGCCACAUUGGGACUGAGAUACGGCCCAGACUCCUACGGGAGGCAGUGGGGAAUAUUGCACAAUGGGCGGAAGCCUGAUGCAGCAACGCCGCGUGCGGGAUGACGGCCUUCGGGUUGUAAACCGCUUUCGCCUGUGACGAAGCGUGAGUGACGGUAAUGGGUAAAGAAGCACCGGCUAACUACGUG